rnacentral:lncRNA from 1 species
UGCACUUUAGCCAGCCAGGGUCAGCAACUGCCAGGCCUUUCAUUCCUCCUAGACAGCCGUUUCUACCCAGCCCGGGACAGCCAUUCCUGCCUACACAUGCACAGCCUAACCUUCAGGGACCCUUGCAUCCUCCGUUGCCACCACCUCAUCAACCACAGCCCCAGCCGCAGCAGCCCCAGCAGCAGCCCCAGCAUCACCAGCAUCAGCCACCCCUUCAACCUCCCCUUCAGCCUCCACACCAGCCUCCCCCACAGCAUCAGCCUCCCCCUCAGCAUCAGCCACAGCAACACCAGCAUCACCACCACCUUUCUGCUCCUCCCCCUCCUCUGAUGCCCAUGUCUCAGCCACAGUUCAGGCCUCAUGUACAGACUGCCCAGCCUCAGUCCAACAGCAGUCGGAUGCAGUGUACUCCACGUCA